GAUUAUAGAGAUCCCAUACACUGCAUUGAGUGCAAGCUGUCGGUCGCCAAGGACUGCCCCCAAAUCCGGCGACGCCGUAGUGGUGGUCUGGCGCCUGCUGCUAGUCGUGCUCCUAUCCGCGAGAGGCUCCCCUUCCCCACGCCUUCUCCGCUCGCGCCGGCCAUGGACCGCUGCCGCCACACCGACCCCUCGCGCCGGCCAAGGGACAGGCACAAGGUGGUGAUCGAGUUGCCGGAGAUGGAGCAUCAGAUGUUACUCCUUCGCCGCCACACCGUCCUCCUCAUCUCCACGGCUGAGCGGCACAUGGCAAGCUCCAUGUCCGUCGGCCACGCCUUCGACGCCGUUCUCCGCACUCCGGCGCACCUGUUGCGGGUGACCAGCCACGACCCGGAGGACUUCGUCGUCCACUUUGAGCUGCCGGCGCACCGGGACAACACCGUCCGCCUAGGCUCCAUCAACGUCGACGGCGUCGUCUUCACCAUCAAGUCGUGGCACGAGGACGUCCACGCCGACCAUGAAGACUUCCUCCUCCACGUCUGCGUCGUCAUCGAGAAGAUGCCCAUGCACGUGUGGUCUGUCGACGGUGCGGCGGAGGUGCUCGACGACAAAUGCAUCAUCGACCAGCUCGACAGCCGCACGCACGAGCGUGGCCACACGCGGACCUUCACGUGCUGGGUGUGGGUGUACGACGUCGCC
rnacentral:rRNA from 1 species